ACGCGAGCUGGGUUCAGAACGUCGUGAGACAGUUCGGUCCCUAUCCGUCGCAGGCGUAGGAAAUUUGAGAAGACCUGUCCUUAGUACGAGAGGACCGGGAUGGACGUACCUCUGGUGUACCAGUUGUCCUGCCAAGGGCAUGGCUGGGUAGCUAUGUACGGAAUGGAUAAGCGCUGAAAGCAUCUAAGCGCGAAGCCAACUUCAAGAUAAGAUUUCCCACCGCAAGGGUAAGACCCCAGAAAGACUA
rnacentral:rRNA from 1 species